rnacentral:rRNA from 1 species
UACGGAGGGUGCAAGCGUUAGUCGGAAUUACUGGGCGUAAAGGGUGCGUAGGCGGGGAUAUAAGUCAGAUGUGAAAAACCGAAGCUCAACUUCGGCAGUGCAUCUGAAACUGUAUUUCUAGAGGGAGAGCGGAGAAAACGGAAUUCCACGUGUAGCGGUGAAAUGCGUAGAUAUGUGGAAGAACACCGGUGGCGAAAGCGGUUCUCUAGCUUAUACCUGACGCUGAGGCGCGAGAGCAAGGGGAUCAAACAGG